GCGGCGAUAGCUCAGUUGGUAGAGCGUCGGCUUCCCAAGCCGAAGGUCGCGGGUUCGAGACCCGUUCGCCGCU
rnacentral:tRNA from 1 species